CAAACUGCCAUGACAACUGCUUUACCCAACAUUUUGGUUCACAGACUUAACUAAGAUCAGCCAUGUGGACAGAUUUGUAGACUGUUACAGGACUUUGACUCUCUGGAUCUGAAGAAGGCACCAAUCCCUGCUAAACCAUGAAUAUUGACACCAGCUGCAGCAUCAUCUUCAGACUCAGGAGAAGUCUUUCAGGGCGAUAGAUUUGAGAUUGAGUUCUCAUCUUCUCAGCUGCAACGACCGAUUAAAGCCUUUUUCCUUGGCAAUACUCCUCAUCUCAGUCAUUGGAUUUCUGUCCAGAGAGCAGCAACACCCACAUCAAAGUCUCAUGUUUUGCAUUAUGUAAUUAGAAACAACUGUUUGAAGUUUACUGAAAAGCUAAUGAGCAUGAAGUUUUGGGAGACACUUCGAAUACAUUGAUUAGUUAGGAGAAGGUAGGAAAUUGCUGUUUUAGUAUCCAUGAUUUAAAAAUUUGGCUUAUUUUGUGGGACUUUUAAUGAUGCAACACUACCUCUAACAGUAUUAUAAAAUCGUCCUAAGAUUACAAAGUUCUUUACUUUUAAAAGACAAUUAAAAUUUUGCACAGUUGAUGAUUAUACCCUCUCUCUUAAGAAAAUUAUAGAUUCAGUAAGAUAUGAAAGAGAUCUCAUGGUUCUGAGAGCCAGUGUAAGAUAGUUAACAAAAGCAACCUCUGAAGUUGCAGCUUCAUAUUUACCCACACUAAGAUUGUAUUUUAGAUAAUAUUAUCCUGAAAUAUACAUACUAUUUUCUUUUGC
rnacentral:lncRNA from 1 species